CACUACCGCGGCACAUGGGGAGCCUCAACCCCACAGCCCGGUAGGAUAGUUUUCAGCCUAAUUUUUUAAAAAAGGUUUAUUUCCCUAGUUUUGAAACCACCCCCUUCCAGACCCUUUUUUCCCAAUCUGUCUUAAUCACCUUGACCCCUUUCUCCCAUUCUCUCAAGCUCUAUUUCUCUCUUUCUACUCUAACUUCCAAAGCUUUCUCCAGCCCUCCUUAAUUCUUUGUCGACUCCAUCCCCCCAUCUCCCUCAAGCUUCAAGAUUUGAAGCGUUCUAAGGCCGAUUCACGAGGAAAGGGCUUAUUGGAGUAGAGAUUUACACGGCUUGAGGUCCAGGUACUUCCGGGUACGGUGGUUACUGAUUUUGGACCUUUAUCAGUUCAGAGAUUCUCGAUGUAGUUGCUUUGGCAUCCGCCGACCUAUACUCUCCGCCUUUAUCUUUAAGUUUGAUUUAUACUGUUCUACCUUCCUAGAUAGUGUUUCACUAGUUAAACCAUGUUAUUGUAAAUGCUCAUGUACUCAGUGACACUCGGAUUUUGGGAGAAUGUAAAACUGAGUCGCGCUAUUUUCA